rnacentral:lncRNA from 1 species
CAACUAUUUGUAGAAUACUGGUGACUAAUAUUUUUGUUUAUUUCUGAUAUGUUUCAGGACAAUGCAGAUCUAAUAUUUGACGACCCAUCGGGACGGACUUACACAAUAAUUCAGAUACCAAAUCAAUAAGUGUUCCGAUAGCCGAAAUAAAUAGUAACCAAUUAGACAGUGUUCCUAGUUUAGAUAGUAUAAGUGACAAAUCUAGCCAAUCAAUUUUUUCUACUGUUGCCCAUACGCUAAACCGAGUCAAAAGGGCUUUUGGGAUUUUUUGGCUCCCCAAAAUAUAGAAAAAUCGAAAGAAAGUGAGGAAUCAACGACGGUGGAGGUGACAUCCGCAAACCCUACGAGCCUUUCAACAGCUAGUCUUAGUUCCGAAACCCCCGCCACCCUCUUUAACUCGACUGUCGAUAGUUCUCUUCUUUCCUUAGGCGAAGUGUCUCCGUUACCGAGUACGAGAGUUGCGAGGUACACCCCGACGGACCAAAGCGAAGACACUGGAUUCCCGUUUUCGGAUUCACCAUAUCCAAAUUCGAACUCGGACGACGAGGAUUUCUCGAAAGGAGGCUCCGGGGAGGAGUUCGCUGCCUCGGGCGAGAUCUCCACCAACACGCCGGAGGUCACGGAGUGGAGCACUGGCACCCAGGAUAUUUUGACUGGAGCACCCCAUUUCUAUCGAAUAACAAUAGUCAUCAAUGAACCGUACAAUGAGCAAUAUCUGGAUCAUGAGAGCGUCGUUUUCAAGCAGCUGGCAGCAAACUUGUCCUCAGCAAUUGAUGAAAUCCUUCGCUUUCUUGGCCAGUUUUCUUCAAACCUCAUUGCUGUGUCGUAAGUAGAGAAGUGUCAAAUAAGUCUAUCAUAUUUUGUGUCCAUUAUAAAAUCUCUGUUAACAAACCUGCACACUUCUUUG